GAUGAACGCUGGCGGCGUGCCUAAUACAUGCAAGUCGAACGCUGAAGGAGGAGCUUGCUCUUCUGGAUGAGUUGCGAACGGGUGAGUAACGCGUAGGUAACCUGCCUGGUAGCGGGGGAUAACUAUUGGAAACGAUAGCUAAUACCGCAUGACAACAGUUAUUGCAUAAUAACUGUUUAAAAGGGGCAACUGCUCCACUACCAGAUGGACCUGCGUUGUAUUAGCUAGUUGGUGAGGUAACGGCUCACCAAGGCGACGAUACAUAGCCGACCUGAGAGGGGGAUCGGCCACACUGGGACUGAGACACGGCCCAGACUCCUACGGGAGGCAGCAGUAGGGAAUCUUCGGCAAUGGACGGAAGGCUGACCGAGCAACGCCGCGUGAGUGAAGAAGGUUUUCGGGUCGUAAAGCUCUGUUGUAAGAGAAGAACGAGUGUGAGAGUGGAAAGUUCACACUGUGACGGUAUCUGACCAGAAAGGGACGGCUAACUACGUG
rnacentral:rRNA from 1 species